CAUCUUGACACUGAAGUUUACCCGAGCAUGACAUCGGGUAUGAUUUGGAUGGAGGCAGAGGAAGGAAACAUCGGGAAGUUGUGAACCAUCUCCUAUUUAUGUACGACUUGAAGAUCUUUGCCGACUUGGAGCAGGGACUCAGUCAGCUCGUGGAGGCAGUCAUGACUUGUCCAAGGACAUUGGUAUGGAAUUUGGAUUGGAUAAAUGUUCUCAAUGUACAAUCAGAGGAGGUCAAAAGGAAACAACAGAAAACAUACAGAUGGAUGAAGGGAACUACAUUGAAGAUUUGGCUGUAGACUCCACAUACGAAUACUUGGAACUGAAGAAAAGACUACAAUUAAGCAUAAGAAAAUGAGACAAGAGAGUAACUGUUAUGGCAUAUACAGUAGUGUUCAGAAUAAUAGUAGUGCUAUGUGACUAAAAAGAUAAAUCCAG